GGGAAGGUAGCUCAAUGGUAGAGUGCUUGCCUUGCAUGCAUGAGGCCCUGGGUCCAAUUCCUCAGCCCCA
rnacentral:tRNA from 1 species